CACACUCCUUAGAGCCACUUUUUGGGAUGUAUCUGUUCGACCUUGCUGGUAAAUCUUUUGCACCCUAAUGCUGGGGUUCUCUGGUCUGCUGGCAGGUGACAUCCGUAUUGAUUGUACAAGCUGAAGGCGCUCGAGUCAUUUGGCUUGUAAGAGUAAUAUAUCUGCAGGGUAGCCCUGUGUCCUGACGUGAGUGACACGCUAACUCUAGGCUGCUUUCUGCCAUCAGGACUUUGCUCAACAGGUCCA